AACGGCGUCGAGCGGCGGACGGGUGAGUAAUGCCUGGGAAAUUGCCCUGAUGUGGGGGAUAACCAUUGGAAACGAUGGCUAAUACCGCAUAAUAGCUUCGGCUCAAAGAGGGGGACCUUCGGGCCUCUCGCGUCAGGAUAUGCCCAGGUGGGAUUAGCUAGUUGGUGAGGUAAUGGCUCACCAAGGCGACGAUCCCUAGCUGGUCUGAGAGGAUGAUCAGCCACACUGGAACUGAGACACGGUCCAGACUCCUACGGGAGGCAGCAGUGGGGAAUAUUGCACAAUGGGCGCAAGCCUGAUGCAGCCAUGCCGCGUGUAUGAAGAAGGCCUUCGGGUUGUAAAGUACUUUCAGCAGUGAGGAAGGUGGUAGUGUUAAUAGCACUAUCAUUUGACGUUAGCUGCAGAAGAAGCACCGGCUAACUCCGUGCCAGCAGCCGCGGUAAUACGGAGGGUGCGAGCGUUAAUCGGAAUUACUGGGCGUAAAGCGCAUGCAGGUGGUUUGUUAAGUCAGAUGUGAAAGCCCGGGGCUCAACCUCGGAAUAGCAUUUGAAACUGGCAGACUAGAGUACUGUAGAGGGGGGUAGAAUUUCAGGUGUAGCGGUGAAAUGCGUAGAGAUCUGAAGGAAUACCGGUGGCGAAGGCGGCCCCCUGGACAGAUACUGACACUCAGAUGCGAAAGCGUGGGGAGCAAACAGGAUUAGAUACCCUGGUAGUCCACGCCGUAAACGAUGUCUACUUGGAGGUUGUGGCCUUGAGCCGUGGCUUUCGGAGCUAACGCGUUAAGUAGACCGCCUGGGGAGUACGGUCGCAAGAUUAAAACUCAAAUGAAUUGACGGGGGCCCGCACAAGCGGUGGAGCAUGUGGUUUAAUUCGAUGCAACGCGAAGAACCUUACCUACUCUUGACAUCCUCAGAAGAGACUGGAGACAGUCUUGUGCCUUCGGGAACUGAGAGACAGGUGCUGCAUGGCUGUCGUCAGCUCGUGUUGUGAAAUGUUGGGUUAAGUCCCGCAACGAGCGCAACCCUUAUCCUUGUUUGCCAGCGAGUAAUGUCGGGAACUCCAGGGAGACUGCCGGUGAUAAACCGGAGGAAGGUGGGGACGACGUCAAGUCAUCAUGGCCCUUACGAGUAGGGCUACACACGUGCUACAAUGGCGCAUACAGAGGGCGGCCAACUUGCGAAAGUGAGCGAAUCCCAAAAAGUGCGUCGUAGUCCGGAUUGGAGUCUGCAACUCGACUCCAUGAAGUCGGAAUCGCUAGUAAUCGUAGAUCAGAAUGCUACGGUGAAUACGUUCCCGGGCCUUGUACACACCGCCCGUCACACCAUGGGAG
rnacentral:rRNA from 1 species